UCCUACGGGAGGCAGCAGUGGGGAAUAUUGCACAAUGGGCGCAAGCCUGAUGCAGCCAUGCCGCGUGUGUGAAGAAGGCCUUCGGGUUGUAAAGCACUUUCAGUCGUGAGGAAGGUAGUGUAGUUAAUACCUGCAUUAUUUGACGUUACCUACAGAAGAAGCACCGGCUAACUCCGUGCCAGCAGCCGCGGUAAUACGGAGGGUGCGAGCGUUAAUCGGAAUUACUGGGCGUAAAGCGCAUGCAGGCGGCCUGUUAAGUCAGAUGUGAAAGCCCGGGGCUUAACCUCGGAAUUGCAUUUGAAACUGGCAGGCUAGAGUCUUGUAGAGGGGGGUAGAAUUUCAGGUGUAGCGGUGAAAUGCGUAGAGAUCUGAAGGAAUACCAGUGGCGAAGGCGGCCCCCUGGACAAAGACUGACGCUCAGAUGCGAAAGCGUGGGGAGCCAACAGGAUUAGAUACCCUGGUAGUCCACGCCGUAAACGAUGAGUGCUAAGUGUUAGAGGGUUUCCGCCCUUUAGUGCUGAAGUUAACGCAUUAAGCACUCCGCCUGGGGAGUACGGCCGCAAGGCUGAAACUCAAAGGAAUUGACGGA
rnacentral:rRNA from 1 species